CCCUAUGGGGUGCAGCAGGCGCGAAAACUUCACACUGCAGGAAACUGUGAUGAGGGAACUCCUAGUGCAUGCACUAUGUGUAUGUAGAUCCUACUCUUAACAAGUAGAGGGAGGGCUGGGAAAGACCGGUGCCAGCCGCCGCGGUAAUACCGGCAGCUCAAGUGGUCGUCGCUUUUAUUGGGCCUAAAACGUCCGUAGCCUGUUUGGUAAAUCUGUGGGUAAAUCAACUUGCUCAACGGGUUGAAUUCUGCAGAGACUGCCAGACUAGGGACCGGGAGAGGUGUGGGGUACUCGAGGGGUAGGGGUAAAAUCCUGUCAUCCUUCGAGGACCACCAGUUGCGAAGGCGCCACACUGGAACGGAUCCGACGGUCAGGGACGAAGCCUAGGGGCACGAACCGGAUUAGAUACCCGGGUAGUCCUAGGUGUAAACGCUGUGAACUUGGUGUCGGGGGUCCGCAAGGGGUCCCCGGUGCCGGAGUGAAGAUGUUAAGUUCACUGCCUGGGGAGUACGGUCGCAAGGCUGAAACUUAAAGGAAUUGGCGGGGGAGCACUGCAACGGGAGGAGCGUGCGGUUUAAUUGGAUUCAACGCCGGAAAACUCACCAGGGCCGACUGUUAUAUGAAGACCAGCGUAAUGAGCUUGUCGGAUUUUCAGAGAGAGGUGCAUGGGCCAA
rnacentral:rRNA from 1 species